UUGCUUGGUUUCAUAUCAUAUACACCUUUCUUCAGUUUAUUUCUAAAAUACUAAAAACUACAAAUAAAAAAUGGCCAGUAUCAAAAUGUUGUUUGUCCUCUUGGCAACAGUUUUAAUGUUUGUUGCUCCUGCUAUCAAUGCUUGUGAAGGAGAUGGAACUCCAUGCCAACCUGAUGGAAGUACAGAUUGUUGCUCAGGAUUUUGUUAUAAACAAGUAGGAUGGGGAAUUGGAUAUUGCAAAGCUCGCUAAGUAUAAAAAAACCAAAUUUUGUUACAAUUUUCACUUUAAAAAACUAUUUUUUAAUCUUGAUGUAAUUAUUGAAAUUCGUAACACGACAUUGGUUUUUGGACAAUAAUAAUAUACGUAAAGAAAGCUAUGUAGUCCUUUAAAUUAAUAAAAAUUUUCAAAAUUCAUGAAACAAA